GAUGAACGCUGGCGGCGUGCCUAAUACAUGCAAGUCGAGCGAACAGACGAGGAGCUUGCUCCUCUGACGUUAGCGGCGGACGGGUGAGUAACACGUGGAUAACCUACCUAUAAGACUGGGAUAACUUCGGGAAACCGGAGCUAAUACCGGAUAAUAUAUUGAACCGCAUGGUUCAAUAGUGAAAGACGGUUUUGCUGUCACUUAUAGAUGGAUCCGCGCUGCAUUAGCUAGUUGGUAAGGUAACGGCUUACCAAGGCAACGAGGCGUAGCCGACCUGAGAGGGUGAUCGGCCACACGGGAACUGAGACGCGGUCCAGGCUCCUACGGGAGGCAGCAGUAGGGAAUCUUCCGCAAUGGGCGAGAGCCUGACGGAGCAACGGCGCGUGAGUGAUGAAGGUCUUGGGAUCGUAAAACUCUGUUAUGAGGGAAGAACAAAUGUGUAAGUAACUAUGCACGUCUUGACGGUACCGAAUCAGAAAGCAACGGCUAACUACGUG
rnacentral:rRNA from 1 species